ensembl:lncRNA
ACAAUGCCUUACAAAAUCUGGGUUUUCUAGGCAUUGAAUAGAUUAAUUUGAUUUGUAUUAUUCCUUAUAGGAAGAAAUCAUUUGGUAUUCAACAUGCCUUCUGGAACAAAUUAAUGACAAGUACCAAGGUUCAUCAAAGAAGUUCAAAUGGGGAAUCCUGGGCUACAGUUGAGAAGCUGAACUUGCAAGUCUUCUAAGAACCUGAACGUGGCAAGCACUUUAAAGGCAGAAGGAGGAGCACUAUAUGGAAGUUGCAUUGAGACAUAUUUGGGCUCUGUAUUCAAAAGAUCUACCUACUGACCAGACUCUCCAGAAGAAGAACCACCAAAAGGUUAAGUGGGCUCAUCCACCAGUCACUGAAGAUCUUCAGCAGGAUUUGAAUGAUCUAUUGUUCUCUUUCCAAGGCUUGUACCAGAGUCUUCAGUCAACAAAAGGUUUCUUGACAUCCCUCCACCUGUUACCUUUUCAAGAUGAAUAAGGAACUGGAAACACCUGAUGGGACUUGUCUCUGACACCAACCCAACAACGCAAAAUGAGGGCGCAGAAGUGCCCAAACUUAGAAAAGAGCUUCCUCUCUGUUGCUUUAUUCCCUGGACACAAUGUUUCUCACUCCAGAUCCUAUUUUUCAUUUUGGGUGAUCCAUAACUUGGAACCAGAGUAUUCGAACAGGGGUGCCAACUCUUUUUGCUGUAUAGAAUUCUGAGAACUAGAUGCAUACCAAACCAUUUUCUUUUACAGACACCAGAAGGCUUUGAAUGACCUAAAAUUUCUUAAGAGAAACCGCUGGGUAUGACUUGGUCUCUUGGCACUCCCCUCCCCCUCUGUCCUCAUUCCCUCUGUAAUUACAGAAACUGAAUUACUAAUGUGUGCUCCUCUGUUCUUUCUUCCCCCACCCCUCCUUUCCUCCUUUUGUAUUAUUCAGUAAGCAAGAUUGUAUCUUUUCACAUAAUUUGAAAAAUAACACCUUCAAUAUGAAGAAAAAGUGAUUGAAAAGAAACAGUAUUCCUUUUCUUUUCUCUUUUGUAAUGCAGACUGUAUGAUACUUUCUAUAAGUCACAGUUUCUUUAUUAUGUCAAUGUUUUUCUUCUAGGAGGUGUUAUGUUCCAAUUGAUAGCCCUGAAAAUAAUAUAGUGUUUUACGAAGUUCUGAAAACAUAAUUUUGCUUGGAAAUUCAUCUCUCCUUCCUCAGAGAAUUCAUGUGUGAUGGUUCUGUAACCCUUCAGUGAACCAGAUGCUUUAAGAGAGUGUGAAUUUUCUGACCCCUAGAAGAGUGGGCAUUAUUGUGAAUCCUGCUAGAGGAAAGGAGAGGGACCGAAAUCUGGUGAAAACUAAAGACCCAAAUCUCUCAUUGUUACCCUGUGGGGAGAUUUGGGUAUUUUAAAAAUCGAUUCCUUAUUCCUUCCCACCUUGACUGUACCAACAACUCUUAGCUUGAACCGAAUGUCCAGUCCUGGAUCAAGACAAAGAGAUUGGGAUGAGCUUUGGAUAAAUAGGCUGUUUUCAAGUCAUCUGAAUUUUGCUCAUCAGUAAUAAAGGCAUGUCUGAGCCAAUGGGCA